CGAGGGUGCAAGCGUUAAUCGGAAUUACUGGGCGUAAAGCGAGUGUAGGCGGCUUCGUAAGUCGGAUGUGAAAGCCCUGGGCUUAACCUGGGAAUGGCAUUCGAAACUGCGCGGCUAGAGUCUGAUAGAGGGAAGUGGAAUUCCAGGUGUAGCGGUGAAAUGCGUAGAGAUCUGGAGGAACACCAGUGGCGAAGGCGGCUUCCUGGAUCAAGACUGACGCUGAGGCUCGAAAGCGUGGGGAGCAAACAGGAUUAGAUACCCGAGUAGUCC
rnacentral:rRNA from 1 species